GACGAACGCUGGCGGCACGCCUAACACAUGCAAGUCGAGCGGAGAUUGAGAGCUUGCUCUCAUGAUCAGCGGCGGACGGGUGAGUAACACGUGAGCAACCUGCCUUUCAGAGGGGGACAACAGUUGGAAACGACUGCUAAUACCGCAUAACAUUGCCGAACGGCAUCGUUUGGCAAUCAAAGGAGCAAUCCGCUGAAAGAUGGGCUCGCGUCUGAUUAGAUAGUUGGUGAGGUAACGGCUCACCAAGUCGACGAUCAGUAGCCGGACUGAGAGGUUGAUCGGCCACAUUGGGACUGAGACACGGCCCAGACUCCUACGGGAGGCAGCAGUGGGGGAUAUUGGACAAUGGGGGAAACCCUGAUCCAGCGAUGCCGCGUGAGGGAAGAAGGUUUUCGGAUUGUAAACCUCUGUGGACAGGGACGAUAAUGACGGUACCUGUUUAGAAAGUCCACGGCUAACUACGUGCCAGCAGCCG
rnacentral:rRNA from 1 species